GAUUUUUGCUCUCUCCCGCGUCUUCUCCGAGCGUGCCGUAGACAUCCUCACUGAGGCCGUUGCCAUCAUCCCUAUUGUCGAGCUCUAUGCGGAUCGGGCCCAGGCUAACAUCAAACUCAGCAACUACCGACUAUCAAAAUUUCUCGGACGACGGUAGAGAAGCAUCUGUAGCUGUUCACCCUAGCUUCACUGGGAUCUCCACUGCCGACCUCUGGUACGUACCUCCACUCCAGAAGUGGAAUCGGCAAAGAAGAGAUGCAAGUUCGUGAUUGAUAGAAUCCAAGAGUUGCCUGCUUCCACCAAGAUCACUGACUCUUGCCGCGCACCCUCCUCAAAUUAGCUCGCUUCGAGUUCUGUUUCCUCUCUCGCUUCUCUUCUUCUUCUUCGAAUACUACUGCUACUAUUAUUUCUACGCCUCUCAGGUUCAUCUUGUUUCCAUUUGCCUUUCAAAUGUUUCCAUCUGUUUGGCUGCUAAGGGAAUUAGUUCCAGUAUGACUGGUGAAUCUUUUCUCUUUGUUUUCUUCGUGGAUAAGAACAAUUUUAGUGUUCUUCUGUGUUAAAUGAAGAAAGGUUUAAUUUUUUUUUAAUUCACUUAAAAAAUCAUUUUAUGUUAAUUAGAUUAAUUAAGGUUUUCCCUGGAUGAGUGAGACAUUGAAGGAAUGCGUCUUUUCUCUUCUUCUGUGUCCUUGCUGCCUGUAGUAACCAAUGGACAUGUAAAAGACUCAGUUUCUUUGGAGAAUGCUAAGAAAGAUUCUUCGUCAAUCAGGAAUAGUUUUGAAAAAAAUAAAGUAGAUGCUGUUGACAGAUUAAAAAGGAAGGAUUCAGUGUUAACAAAUAAAAACACUGGUAUUCAUUCUGUUGAAAAAUAUCCCAGAAGGUCAGAUCUUAUGGAUGACACUGGGAGAAGCAGAGCAAUAUCAGGACCUUACAACCAUAAGCUAGAAGCCAAUGGUCUUAACAACAAACCUUAUUCAUUGGAGAAGAAGAGGAAGGAAACAGAGUCUACUAGCAUUUUGCUUGCACAUGAUGAUCAAUCUGAAGCACGAGUUUAGGAACUUAAAUACAGGUCUGAUAUGCCUUAACUGUGCCCUUUCUGAACUCUUUCAUCUAACAUGAGUUAGAAUGUUAAAAUUUAAUGGAUAUUUUCUUUUAGUAUGGCCCGGCUAUUCUUAUUUUACAAGUAUAUAUUGAUGAUCUAUCACGUUCUACUUUUGGCUCUUUCUUAAUCCCUAUCAUACAAUCAAUAUUAGCUAUGUUUGAAAUCAGUUAUUCGGUUGAUGCUUAAGAGUUGCAACUAUUACUGUUUGGUUAUUUAUAUUGAUGGGAUUGCCGGAAUAUGAUGUUGAUGGGCACCCAAGUCGAGAGGUAAUAUAAUGAUUUUUUUUUUUUUGGGGUAUACAUAAUGGAUUAGUUUAUUUGUUGCAUCUUUGGCGUUAUGGAUCUGCAAGUACCAAUCUUGAAUUGUCUUAAGUAUCUAUACUUUGUUGUAGAAAUAGGAAACAAAAAAGAAUGUCAUACCUGUAAUUAGUCUUACUUUGGUUACUAUUGAAGUUGGGAAUUUAUGGAAUAUUAUUCUUUAAUUGGAUUUUUAUUUUUAUUUUUAUAUUAACUGUUUGAGUAUGAACUAAUGGUCAUGUUCUUUCUUCACCCUCUUCAGUAUAAAAUUUGGCACGGGUAUAAAUCAUCCGUUUGAAUCUGUGUACACUUCAUUUCUAUUCUUCCUGGAACCAUUCGAAUAUCUUCUUCACCUUCUUUCUAAUGUUUUUCCUAUCUGAUCUUAAUUUUAAAUCAUUAUCAAUCUUUUUUCAUCCUCACCAUUUGUCUCUGGUGUGAGUUGAUUAUUUCAAGGGAGCCUCCUGUGCUAAGUCUAUGAAACCUAAUUAAAUUGUCAGAUUUCCAUAUUGAUUAGAAAUUUAGACCGUAAGUGCAAAAUAUUCACAGGGAAAUUCGCUCCUUCAAACACCAAAGUCAUUCCCUUUCUUGAAGAUACUGAUUUAGAAUGCAGUAGGCAUAAGAGCAACAAGAAAAAUAGGGUAAGAACAAUUUGUUUAGAUUCAUACCAACCAUUUAACUUGAGAAAUGUGAUGAUUUUGCCAACAGCAGCAAUGAAUAACAAUCAUAAAAUUGAAGAUCAAAAAGAUGCUCUGCUGCCUCACUAAAACAAUCCAUCUCUCUGAGUGUAUCCUCAAACGAGGAAGAUGAACUUAGUUUUAUGUUUAACUUGGUACUAGACAAUCUUUUCUGCAUGACAUGUAUGUACAGUGUAAUUCUAUUUUUUUCUUUGUGCCAUAUAAUAAAAAUUGCAUACAAGCUAAAUACCUGUUAUAGAUGCUGAUUUUUUCCUUUUUUUCUUCUAAUCCUUGCAAAUGUUUAAAAAAAGGAUGAUGGGUGCAAGUAAUGUAACUUUCUUAUUUUGAAGGUUACUAAAGGUUUGUUCUUUCUUUUUAUAAAGUAUUUGCCAUUUAUCACUCCUAUUUUUUUUUUCUUUUUUAUUUUAGAUGGCGAUUGAUAGUACAUGUUCUCUGGAAGUGUUUGGGGCAGUGGAUAUGAAGGUUCAGAUAAUGUGAUUACUGAUGAGAUAGAGCUCCAGCAACAUCAGAAACUUGAGAAGCUCUACAUAUCAACAUGAGCGGGAAAGGUUACUAGGUCCUCUUAUGCCAGUUCUUUAUUCUUAUAAACCUUUUACCAAUGGGUCGCCUCAAUUGAUUGUUGAUGACAUGAGUUGUUUUUGCUCAACAUUAUCAAAGGGAUAUUGUCCGCGUGGUAGAAGCUUAUAUUGCUACUGGAUUGAAGCAAGUUGAAAUAGGAAGUUAAGCUCAAGGGGAAAAAGAGUUUAGCAGGACUUUACCGUCUUCUGGCUGAUGUGAUAAGUAGGCACGUAAGCCACUAAGUGCAGCAGCGUGGAGACAUCUUUUUGGUUUUUUUAUUUCAACAAAGUGCAAUUGAGCAGCUUUAGCUGCGUAUGUUUCAUUUUAGUCUUCUUUUUUACUUUCAUCUGAAUCAAGUAGGUUCUGGUAGUUCAUGGAAUUCAUUUUCAAGGAUCUUCCACUCUUUAAACUUAUUCAAUAAAAUAAAAUGAUAACUGGUCUUAUUUC